rfam:Aedes aegypti strain Liverpool supercont1.1443 genomic scaffold, whole genome shotgun sequence.
CUGAUCCGCGUAUGCCGCUGAUGUUAUCAGCAUCAUGCCCUGGCAGUCCGAGGCUUCAAGACUGUUGCGCGGUUUAACUGCGCCGCCUCUCCCGUUCGCUCCGCACCGCUUUUGCGAACACGCGCCUCCCCGGCGCGGGUGC